rnacentral:ncRNA from 1 species
GAUGUUGCAGACAAAGUGCGUCGAGCGGUGGUAAUGGAUAGAUCGUAAAGACGCUGCAAGUACGUCCUUGUAAGCUCGAGCCGCGCCAUCCUUGGCGCGGACGCUUU